AAAUGCGAUAAGUAAUGUGAAUUGCAGAAUUCAGUGAAUCAUCGAAUCUUUGAACGCACCUUGCGCUCCUUGGUAUUCCUUGGAGCAUGCCUGUUUGAGUAUCUUGAAAUCUUCAAAGUAAAUCUUUUGUUAACUCAAUUGGUUUCUACUUUGGUAUUGGAGGUCUUUGCAGCUUCACACCUGCUCCUCUUUGUUCAUUAGCUGGAUCUCAGUGUUAUGCUUGGUUCCACUCGGCGUGAUAAGUUAUCUAUCGCUGAGGACACUGUAAAAGGUGGCCAAGGUAAAUGCAGAUGAACCGCUUCUAAUAGUCCAUUGACUUGGACAAUACUUUUAUGAUCUGAUCUCAAAUCAGGUAGGACUACCCGCUGAACUUAAGC
rnacentral:misc_RNA from 1 species